GCGGUGGAGCAUGUGGUUUAAUUCGAUGAUACGCGAGGAACCUUACCUGGGCUCAAAUGUAUGUUGACGUAUUCUGAAAGGGAUACUUCUUCGGACAAUAUACAAGGUGCUGCAUGGUUGUCGUCAGCUCGUGCCGUGAGGUGUCGGGUUAAGUCCCAUAACGAGCGCAACCCCUAUCAUUAGUUGCCAUCAGGUCAAGCUGGGGACUCUAAUGAAACUGCCUACGCAAGUAGUGAGGAAGGUGGGGAUGACGUCAAAUCAGCACGGCCCUUACGUCCAGGGCUACACACGUGCUACAAUGGCCGGUACAAAGGGUUGCCAAGCCGCGAGGUGGAGCUAAUCCCAUAAAACCGAUCGUAGUCCGGAUCGCAGUCUGCAACUCGACUGCGUGAAGUCGGAAUCGCUAGUAAUCGUGAAUCAGAAUGUCACGGUGAAUACGUUCCCGGGCCUU
rnacentral:rRNA from 1 species